rnacentral:miRNA from 6 species
GCGACCCAUACUUGGUUUCAA